rnacentral:rRNA from 1 species
CCCUUAGAUGUUCUGGGCUGCACGCGCGCUACACUGACACACUCAACGAGUUCCUAGCUUGAAAGGGUUGGGUAAUCAUUUGAGCGUGUGUCGUGAUGGGGAUAGAAUAUUGUAAUUAUUGCUCUUUAACGAGGAAUUCCUAGUAGGCGUACGUUAUCAGCGUGCGUCGAUUACGUCCCUGCCCUUUGUACACACCGCCCGUCGCUACUACCGAUUGGGAAAAUUUUAGAGAGUCCUGGACUGAUGAUUGUUCGGCUUCACGGCCUUACUUUCGUCGGGAAAGAAUUCGAUAAUAUUUUUCUAGAGGAAGUAAAAGUCGUAACA